GCCCUGCUUUUGAAAAACUCAGGCUGCCUGUGCCCUCAGCUCUCCCCGAGAUUACAAAUUAACACUGGGAACUCUGAGCUCUUGUUACUACCAAGAAAAGAAUUCUGUCACUUUCUCUAGGAUGGCUGCCUGCCCUCACGACUCAAUACAUUUUUAAUUAAGCAUCAGCUGUCUACCAGCAAUGCAGCUCCUUGGGAUAUGAAAAGAGCCAAUCCCCACAGCUGCACGACCUGCCCCUUCUCCUUUGAGAGACCAACAGGCCAAUCAAUGACCGAUUGAACAACUGCAGACCCCAGUGGUGACGAUGGUUGGAAAAAGGGACUGGCAGCGUGGCUCAGCGGGUAAGGUGUUUGUUGUGGAAGCAUAAGGAGCGAGAGUUUGGAUCCCGAACAUCCAUAUGAGAGCCAGGCACGUUGCUGGUGCCUGUGACCCAGCUCUGGGGAGGUGGAGACAAAUGGAUACCUGGAGCCCAUUGGUCAAUCAGCUUAGCGAAGUGGGGAGUUCCAGCUUCAGUGAGGAGUCCCGGUUUGAGAAGAUGAGGCAGAGGAUGAUGGAGAAAGGCAUCAGGCAUCAACCUCUGGCCUCCAGGCUCACACAUGCACAUGCGUUUCCACCCACACAUAGAUACACACGUGUACCACAUAAAAAGCGAGUUAAAUGCAUAAACAACUGCACCACGGCCGAUGGUAACAGCCACGCUUGCUCCUGGCUUCGUGCUGGGUGUGUUCAGAGAUUUGCAUAAGCUUCGCCAUUAUUAAACAGGGAGGUGUGUGUGUGUGUGUGUGUGUGUGUGUGUGUGUGUGUGUGUUCCGUGGGUUACUGUGGAGACUGGCCUCUCUGAGGGUGAUAUUUUAAAAAAAAAGAAAACAAAUCGUGACGACCCCUUAACCCUCAGACCCUUCAGCUGCUCCAUCUCAGAUGCCGGUGGCUGUAUGGCUUCCUACCCAAGUGUUAGGGAGCAGGGGGAUGGAUGGAUGAUGGGAAGAUCCCACCCCAAGUGCACUCAGGAACUGCCCUUUGAGGGCCAGAAAGAUGGCUUAGGAGGUGCAAGCCUGAAGACUUGAGUGUGACCCCUAGAUCCCACAGUAGAGAACAGACUCCUGAAUCUUCCUCCAUGCAGUUCCCUUUGCAUGUGCAGCCCUGUGCGCUCACGCUCUCUCUCUCUCUUUCUCUCUCUGUCUCUCUCUCUCUCUCUGUAUGUCUAUCUCUCUGUCUCUCUCAAUAUAUCUCUCUCAGUCACACAAAACCAAGUAAACAUUUUUUUAAUUAAACUGAGCCCCGCCCCCAGACGUUAUUUUUCUUAUUUUCCAUGUGUGCCUGCAUGUAUCUACGUUUGUGUGACACCUGAAUGCUGGCUCCCACAGAGGUCAGAAGAGGGCACACGCUCUCCUGGAACCGGAGUUAUGGAUAACUGUGAGCCACUAUGUGCUGCUGGGAACUGAACCUAGGUCCUCUGCAAGAGCAUCAAGUGUUCUUAAGCACAGAACCAUCUCUACCACCAAGAGGAUAGAUGGAACAGCGCCAGGGUAUCUUAGCUGUGUCCAUGCCUACCCACCACCCUCAACCACCCACACGCUCGGUCACACGUUGACCCCUCAGAAGCCUGAGGCCUUAAAUCUACUAGAGCAGCACACUGACCACAGCUCAGAUAUGCCUGUCACUGUAAGAACAGGGGUGGGGUAGAGGGGGUGUGAAUGUGAUGCAGAUACAUGAAGAAUGAAACACUGCCUAGGGUUAGAUGAGAUCAGCCACAUACAGAGAAUGGCGAGCACCACAGGCUCUCUUCUGGCUUAAGGUGGCUCUUGACAUGAGAUGACAGCACUGCUGUUCUGGGGAAUCCCUGUCUUGCUGCACAUCUGGUGUCCAGGUGAGAUGGUGACAGGGUUCUGUACACAGAUGCCCUUGGUAAACACAGCCUCAGCCUGUGCAGCAGGUAACAUGUCUUUCUCGUGCUGUGGUAACUACCUUGAUGUGGCAGGCUUCUCUUCCAGGACUCACUAACUCUAACCUCCAGUGAUUUUCCAUUCACACUCCCUCCUUGAAACCCGGCAGCCCCACAAGAUGGGCAAAGGGGCAUACAUCUCUCUGGGACACACACGUGACUGGUGCCAGCUGUUCCUGACUUUCUGCCUCAGUCCUGCGUGUGCCUAGCUGAGUGAGUCACCUUCCUUCCUGCCGCCACAAGGGCUUUGGACAGCUCAGUCUUGCUGCAUCACCUAACAGCUUCCAAAUGGCAACGCGAAAUAUACACAGCUCCUUCCCAAACUGCGAAAAGAAAUGCUCUGCUUCCUUCUCACCCACCUGCGGCCUCCUGCCCUGCCCUUCCUCCCCCCUUUCUACCCACGGCCCUUAACCCAGCUCUGUACAGGAAGCCAAGAGUGGGCUGCUGGGGGUGGGAGGCCACACCCCUCUAAGGCUCCAGAAUUGAGGAUCUCCAUGCUUGUGCAGUGGAAUUACAAUUAUUACCGUUGUUAUUAUUACUUUUACCAUGCGUGGUUUGAGGCCAGUGUCUGGCCCACAAUACACAAGACGGAAGCCACCCACUCCUCAAAGAGGCAGCUGCUGAGAGGAAUGGCACUUUUUUUUUCAGAAGGAAUAAAGAGGAAGUAGAAAGAAGAGGAAGGAGAGAUGAGAUGAAAAGAAGGUGGGUCAGAGAGGCAGACAGGGGGCAGGAGAGUGAUUCUGCAUGUGCCUCGCAUGAACACAAAAGGCCUCAGGAUGCAGAAUGCACACACGGAGAACUAAACGCUGACUUUCUGUUCAUUGUGGCUUGCUGUCCCCAGGUGAGGAAGAAAGAGCGCAGAACCACCCACAAACUCACACCCAAAUUAAGUCAAUAUGGCUAGAGGGCCAGCUCCAUAGAUAAAGGGCUUGCUACAUAAGCCUGAUGACCUGGGUUCGGAUCUCAGCACCCACGUGUGGGUGCAGCAGUGUGCACAUCUGAGAUCCCUGCACUCCUACAGGAAGAUGGGAUGCAGAGGCCAGACCCUCCCCACACUCCUAGGACCGCUAGCCAGGUCCACACAGUGCUGAAUGGUAAGAUGCUGUCUAAAGCAAGAGAGAUGGGUAAGGUCAGACUCCCAUGGAAGGUGCAUGCAUGCACGGGCACCCACACGUACCAGGCACACCAGAGAGCAUUAUGGGAGGGCCAUAUUACCCUCAGGCAGUAGCAUCCCAGGGCUCCUGCUGGCAUUCCCAGCAUUCUUUGCUGCUGGCUUUCCCAGCACUCCCAGCGUUUUUCACCUUUCGGGUGUUGUUUUACCCACGGGUAGAAGAUAAAAUGGCAAACUAACUGCAAAGCACAGCGACAUGAAUGGCAGUGCGUACCAGACCCCCAAGUUCCCUGCUGUCCUCCUAACUCACUGUAGACCGACGUCAGGCACAUCUGCCUCGGGUCCCAACGGUGCCCUUUGCUGUGUUCCAUGUCACCUGUACUCUUUGCUUCCCUGCUGGGGUAUCUCAAAGCUACCAACAACCAGAUCUAGGGAGAAACAGGCUGGCCAGGCUCUGAUGUUAGCUGUCCAUGGGACUUGCCCGUUUCAAGUUCGCAUACACCAGCCUUCAUGCUCAGGAGGUUCAGAGUGGGGACUCCUUAACUUCUCCUGGGUAUUGGACUCUGUGGGCUUUCCAGCCCCCUAGAGCAAAGAUUCUUUAGUGGGGUCUAUGAGAAGCUCAGAACGCUCUGGGAGAAGUCAAGAGAAAGGUCAGAGAAUUAACUGGUUCCCUUCCCCCUCCCUGUGGACAUUAUACCAGGGGAGACAGGAGCAGAGCCCUGAAGAGGAACUCUGUCCUCAGGAACCCAGGCAGGGAUGAGGAAGGGCCCACAGGGCCACCUGCCUAGAGCCUCACCUGAGCUUAGCUUCCUCCAUGCCCCGCCUCUACCUCCCGCCAUCCCCACUUAACCCAGACACACAAGGUGACGUUGAAUAAUUGAUGCUGUUUUUAUGUCUGAGAAAUUGCCAUAAAAAUGACACUGAUAACAUAAUCUUAAAUUAUUCCACAUAAUGGAAAAAAAAUUAAAUGUCGCCUUUGAUCGCC
rnacentral:lncRNA from 1 species